ensembl:lncRNA
UAAACCGGUAAUAACAAACACCGACGCGUCUGGCGUUUGUCUCGAUCAACACCGGUGUCGCUUCUAUCCGUUUGACACAGUCACGUGACGACCUUUUUGUUUGGUCCGCUUUUUUCCCUGACAACAGUUGGCUUCUAUUCCAGAACUGAAGUGCGCUAUCGUCCCACGCUUAAGCCUCGAUGGUCCCCACCCGCCUCUCAGCUGACUUCCUAAAUAAAAAAGCCUAAGCAUGCUGCCACGGAGCUCCUUGGCGUGCAGCAACUGAGGAGGAGGAGGAAGAGGACAUGGAGUUUGGGAAGAGCCAUCAGGACGCCACGGCGAAGGAUUUGAUGGAUCUGAGCAACC